rnacentral:rRNA from 1 species
AGUCGAACGAUGAAGCUGGGUGCUUGCACUUGGUGGAUUAGUGGCGAACGGGUGAGUAACACGUGAGCAAUCUGCCCUUGACUCUGGGAUAAGCGUUGGAAACGACGUCUAAUACCGGAUACGACCCUCGGAGGCAUCUCCUGGGGGUGGAAAGAAUUUUGGUCAAGGAUGAGCUCGCGGCCUAUCAGCUUGUUGGUGAGGUAAUGGCUCACCAAGGCGACGACGGGUAGCCGGCCUGAGAGGGUGACCGGCCACACUGGGACUGAGACACGGCCCAGACUCCUACGGGAGGCAGCAGUGGGGAAUAUUGCACAAUGGGCGAAAGCCUGAUGCAGCAACGCCGCGUGAGGGAUGACGGCCUUCGGGUUGUAAACCUCUUUUAGUAGGGAAGAAGCGAAAGUGACGGUACCUGCAGAAAAAGCACCGGCUAACUACGUGCCAGCAGCCGCGGUAAUACGUAGGGUGCAAGCGUUGUCCGGAAUUAUUGGGCGUAAAGAGCUCGUAGGCGGUUUGUCGCGUCUGCUGUGAAAUCUGGGGGCUCAACCCCCAGCCUGCAGUGGGUACGGGCAGACUAGAGUGCGGUAGGGGAGAUUGGAAUUCCUGGUGUAGCGGUGGAAUGCGCAGAUAUCAGGAGGAACACCGAUGGCGAAGGCAGAUCUCUGGGCCGUAACUGACGCUGAGGAGCGAAAGCAUGGGGAGCGAACAGGAUUAGAUACCCUGGUAGUCCAUGCCGUAAACGUUGGGAACUAGAUGUGGGGACCAUUCCACGGUCUCCGUGUCGCAGCUAACGCAUUAAGUUCCCCGCCUGGGGAGUACGGCCGCAAGGCUAAA